rnacentral:rRNA from 1 species
UGGGGAAUAUUGCACAAUGGGCGAAAGCCUGAUGCAGCGACGCCGCGUGAGGGAUGACGGCCUUCGGGUUGUAAACCUCUUUCAGCAGGGAAGAAGCGAAAGUGACGGUACCUGCAGAAGAAGCGCCGGCUAACUACGUGCCAGCAGCCGCGGUAAUACGUAGGGCGCAAGCGUUGUCCGGAAUUAUUGGGCGUAAAGAGCUCGUAGGCGGUUAGUCGCGUCUGCUGUGAAAUCUCGAGGCUCAACCUCGGGCUUGCAGUGGGUACGGGCUGACUAGAGUGCGGUAGGGGUGACUGGAAUUCCUGGUGUAGCGGUGGAAUGCGCAGAUAUCAGGAGGAACACCGAUGGCGAAGGCAGGUCACUGGGCCGCAACUGACGCUGAGGAGCG